UACAGAGGUCCCAAGCGUUGUUCGGAUUCACUGGGCGUAAAGGGUGCGUAGACGGUCGGGUAAGUCUGAUGUGAAAUCUCCAAGCUUAACUUGGAAAUGGCAUCGGAUACUAUUCGGCUCGAGGAAUGGAGGGGAGACUGGAAUACUUGGUGUAGCAGUGAAAUGCGUAGAUAUCAAGUGGAACACCAGUGGCGAAGGCGAGUCUCUGGACAUUUCCUGACGCUGAGGCACGAAAGCCAGGGGAGCAAACGGG
rnacentral:rRNA from 1 species